UCGUGUCGUGAGAUGUUGGGUUAAGUCCCGCAACGAGCGCAACCCUUGUCUCGUGUUGCCAGCAGGCCCUUGUGGUGCUGGGGACUCACGGGAGACUGCCGGGGUCAACUCGGAGGAAGGUGGGGACGACGUCAAGUCAUCAUGCCCCUUAUGUCUUGGGCUGCACACGUGCUACAAUGGCCGGUACAAUGAGUGGCGAUGCCGUGAGGUGGAGCGAAUCUCAAAAAGCCGGUCUCAGUUCGGAUUGGGGUCUGCAACUCGACCCCAUGAAGUCGGAGUCGCUAGUAAUCGCAGAUCAGCAUUGCUGCGGUGAAUACGUUCCCGGGCCUUGUACACACCGCCCGUCACGUCACGAAAGUCGGUAAC
rnacentral:ncRNA from 1 species